rnacentral:rRNA from 1 species
GAGUUUGAUCAUGGCUCAGGAUGAACGCCGGCGGUGUGCCUAAUACAUGCAAGUCGAGCGCACUGGCCCAACUGAUAUGACGUGCUUGCACUGAAUUGACGUUGGAUUACCAGUGAGCGGCGGACGGGUGAGUAACACGUAGGUAACCUGCCCCGGAGCGGGGGAUAACAUUUGGAAACAGAUGCUAAUACCGCAUAACAACAAAAGCCACAUGGCUUUUGUUUGAAAGAUGGCUUUGGCUAUCACUCUGGGAUGGACCUGCGGUGCAUUAGCUAGUUGGUAAGGUAACGGCUUACCAAGGCGAUGAUGCAUAGCCGAGUUGAGAGACUGAUCGGCCACAAUGGAACUGAGACACGGUCCAUACUCCUACGGGAGCAGCAGUAGGAAUCUUCCACAAUGGGCGCAAGCCUGAUGGAGCAACACCGCGUGAGUGAAG